AUUGAACGCUGGCGGCAUGCCUAACACAUGCAAGUCGAACGGUAACGACGGGAGCUUGCUCCUGGGCGACGAGUGGCGGACGGGUGAGUAAUACUUAGGAAUCUGCCCAGUAGCGGGGGACAACUCGAGGAAACUCGAGCUAAUACCGCAUACGCCCUACGGGGGAAAGCGGAGGAUCUUUCGGGACUUCGCGCUAUUGGAUGAGCCUAAGUCGGAUUAGCUUGUUGGUGGGGUAAAGGCCUACCAAGGCGACGAUCUGUAGCUGGUCUGAGAGGACGAUCAGCCACACUGGGACUGAGACACGGCCCAGACUCCUACGGGAGGCAGCAGUGGGGAAUAUUGGACAAUGGGGGCAACCCUGAUCCAGCAAUGCCGCGUGUGUGAAGAAGGCCUGCGGGUUGUAAAGCACUUUCAGUAGAGAAGAAAAGCUCAUGGUUAAUACCCGUGAGUCUUGACGUAACCUACAGAAGAAGCACCGCUAACU
rnacentral:rRNA from 1 species